rnacentral:rRNA from 1 species
UACGUAGGCAGCAAGCGUUGUUCGGAGUUACUGGGCGUAAAGGGCGCGUAGGCGGCUUUGCAAGUGACGGGUGAAAUCCCACGGCUUAACCGUGGAACUGCCUGUCAGACUGCAUGGCUUGAGACCAGGAGAGGUGAGUGGAAUUCCCAGUGUAGCGGUGAAAUGCGUAGAUAUUGGGAGGAACACCAGUGGCGAAGGCGGCUCACUGGACUGGUACUGACGCUGAGGCGCGAAAGCGUGGGGAGCAAACAGG